rnacentral:ncRNA from 2 species
AAGUGUGUGAAGGAGCGGUUUUACGGAAUCAGUGGAAACAAGGAAACACUUUAUUUCGUGAAUCCACGAA